AAUUUAAUUUCCUUGAUCUCCUCUUGUCCCUAUGCAACCGAAAGUCUUUUGGGGGCGCGCCUCCAUCUCCUCGCGACUGCCGCACACGGCACAUCUCAGCGCCUCGCCUCCACCAGUCCACCUCCACAACGUCACCUUCACCUCCUCGCCGCCAGACGCGCCCGCCGCCACCCCGUGAGCCGGCAACCUCCCACCAUCUAGCCUCUGCGCCCGCCCGGCCACCGGGCACUGGCCACGUCCGGCCGACGGCCGCCUGAGGCAGUGAGGCCUGACCACGCCCUCCCUUCUCCACUUUGUGUCUGUGCCCGGUCUUGGAUUCGUGGUUGUCUCCGCCACUGAUCUCCUCCUAGCACGGCAGCACCCCAGAGCCCUAGCGCAAGCCUGGUGCUCCAGAUCUCCACCCUGACCAUGUCGGGGCGGAGACAGGCCUGGCAGUUUGCGGCCGCGCUGGUCUUCUUCCACGGCUCCGAGUACGUCCUCGCUGCCGCUUUCCACGGCCGCCAGAACGUCACCGCUACUUCACUUCUUAUUAGCAAGCAGUAUGUAUUGGCAAUGGGUUUUGCAAUGCUGGAACACCUGACAGAAAUUCUUAUUCUCCCGGAAGUAAAGGAGUUCUGGUUUGUCAGUAAUAUUGGCCUUCUAAUGGUUAUUAUCGGUGAAAUUAUCCGUAAACUUGCUGUAGUGACAGCUGGACGUGCCUUCACACACGUUAUAAGAACUUAUUAUGAAGAUCAGCAUCAAUUGAUCACGCAUGGACUGUAUAGGUUUAUGCGCCACCCUGGGUAUUCUGGCUUUCUUAUAUGGGCAGUAGGAACCCAGGUUAUGCUGUGUAAUCCAUUAUCAACAGUUGCAUUCACAUUGGUCUUGUGGCGAUUCUUUUCAAAACGGAUACCGUAUGAAGAAUUUUUCUUGAAGCAGUUCUUUGGCUCUGAAUACGAUGAAUAUGCACAGAGAGUACACUCUGGAAUACCAUUUAUUAAAUGAAAGUAUGGCACUUGCAAACACACAUCUGGAGAUAGGAUAUUCAUAUUGUGUUCGUAUCAAAUGCACAUGACCCAUCACCCAUCUGGAGUGCACAUAUUAAAUCUGGACCCUUCGUUCAACAAUUCAGCAAUCAAUGACUGAAAGAGGAUGUAAAGGGAAUGCAGGUAGAGCUAAUGGCCCAAGCUAAAAGAAUGAAUCAUGAUUAUCAUUCGAGGCAAUUCCUUUAUCAUAUUUCAUCUGCUGUAUUCUCCAAGUGACAUUUUCACUGAUGUAUGCUCGAUAACUCCAAUAAAGGCAUAAAGCGAGAGAUGCUACAGCUUUGUUGAAUGCAAACAGGUUUGCUCGUGUUGAAUUAUUGUAAGGCCGCGCAUAGCAGAGCGUGCAUAUGUUGAAUUAUUGUUGAAUGCAAACAUUGUUUUGUACCGUAGACUAUAUUGUUUACAGAGUAGAGUUUGAAAUAGAUUAGAGUUUGAAAUAGAGUAAAGUUUGAAAUAGAGUAGAGUUUGAAAUAGUGAGUAAGAUAGGAGAUGAGAUAGAGAGGCUGCUGGAGAUAGCCUAUCGUAUUACAAGUGCAGAAACUUGCUCCAGCUUGCUUGGGACAAAAGAAUCUGAUGCCAUUUUUGUUGUUAUUCCAGAACAGCACAACUCAACUAUCAGGGUUUUUUUAUCUGGUUAUAAGCUGUUGUUUUGUACUGAGAUUUCAUUGUUCACUUGAAGAAACCCUUGCUGGGAGAGCAGAAUGCAUGGUGCUGUUUAAGUGAUCCCGUGUUAUAUUUACUCAUGUAGUCAUGGCAUACAUGUCAAGUAUGCUGGUUGCUUUUC